UUAUCUAGGAGACUCCUUUUGAGCCCUGCUAAUUUUUUUUUCAUGGAGUUAAAACACACAAGAUAAAAUUCUUUCAUUUGUAGGUCUUGCAAAAUAAUGAACCGGAUUUGUUGGAGAAAAUGUGAGGCCGAGGGAGCUUGAACCUUUGCGUACACAAUUGGCCAGUGGGCUUAUGAUAGAUCUGAGGUCCUCGGGAAGAUAAGGAGCCCAGGCAGUUCUCAGAGCUUCUGGUAAUCCACAAGGACAUCAUUUCUCCUCUGCAUGGACUCUUCAUAUCUUGGUUGAGAAAUAUUAACGUGACAGUAUAAAAAGAACAUGAAAUGGGCGGCCAUCUUCUCCCCACUGGAUGCUCUUUGUUUUGGAAAAAUCUCUUCAGGAUACUUCAUUAUUGGCUGGGCUCACUUCUCAAACCCCUGGGGAAAAGAAAUUACGCUGUCCUUAUCUCUGAAGGGGCUGAAUUGACCAAACAAUCGCAACCUGAGCUAAAUCUCCUAAUAAAACUAAAUACAAAUGGGUAAUAUGUACUUGAUUAUAUUUAAUCAUUAUAAUAACUUCACUAAACAGUUUUGAAGAUGAAGUUUUUAGUUGCUGGCUGGCCCAGCUUUUCUUAUGAUUGCUGGAAAUUUUGGUGCUGUCUGUGACCAUAAAACUUAAUAUAUUCAGGAAUUAAUUCUAUGACUGAGACCUCAUGAGAAGACUCCAUGACCUACUGAGUUCAACAAAAUUGAUGCAGAGUGUUUUAGAGCACAGUGAUUUGGAAAGCCAGUGAACCAAGAACAAAAAAUGUUGGGCUGACAAUUCUGUGUCAUUCUAGGGCCCCUCUUAGGGCUUUCCAGGUCGUACAGCGGUAAAGAAUCUGCCUGCCAAUCC
rnacentral:lncRNA from 1 species